GUUGGCCUUGCUGGAGGAAGUGUGUCACUGGGGGUGGAUAUUGAGGUUUCAAAAAACCCAUUAGGAGCCCAGGGCUUCUCUCUUCCUGCUGUGGGCAGAUCUGGAUGUGGAUCUCACAGCUGCUUCUACAGUGCCAUAUUUGCCUGCAUGCCACCGAGCUUCCUACCAUGAUGAUAAUGUACUCAAUCUCUGAAACUGUAGGCCAGCCCCAAUUAAAUGUUUCCUUUUAUAAGUUGCCAUGGUCAUGGAGUCUCCCCACAGCAAUAGCACUCUAUGACACUUUGCUUGGUUUAUUGCCCUUUGUCGAGCAGACUACUGCUCUCUUUCAAACAUGGCAUGUCUCUGAAAUGCUGUAAUACAUAUUCACACAUACUCACGGGAAAAUCUUCCACAGGUGACUUUGCAUUUAUUUAUUUAUUUGCAUUUAUUUGUUCAUUCAGAACUUACUACAUAAACCAAGGCAUUUAUUUUUUCAAAUACAUUGGUGAAUCAAAAACAUCAGGUUGCAGAAAAGUGGGAACUUUGUUUUCUGUAGGUUUCAGAUACUGAUGACACUGGUAGCUUUGUGUUGGUGCAAGGUAGUGGUGGGUUAAUAUUUGAAUCACAAGGAUUGUGGCAUAAAAUCAGACACAAGAGAUGGGCAAUGAAUGGCUACUAAUGGAACAAAGUAUGACCCAGGAUAACUUGGCUCUGAAUCUGCAACAUUCCACAAUCAUAGUCGUGGAAUUAUCCUCCUGGAAAAUUUUCUUAAAAAUUAUGCCUCUGUGUGUGUGUGUGUGUGUGUGUGUGUGUGUACAGGCGAUUGUGAAGACCAGAGGUAUUAGAUCCCAUGGAGCUUUAGAUACAGGUGCAUGUGAACAGCCAGAUGUGGAUUUUGGGAAUUGACUCAGGAAUUGGGUUCUCAGGUGCUGGGCCAUCUCUCCAGCUCCUCUUUAGCAAACUUUAAAGCAGAUGUCUUUUUUUCUCUUCUCUUCCCUUUCCUUACUUCCCUUUUUUCCUUUUUCUUUUUUGCAAGCUUCACAUAUGUCCCCUCAGAUGUCCCCUAAGAGUUUGGCCUUGACGGGGGUAGGGGGUGGUGGACCCUGGCUGCCUUUUUUUUUUUUUUUUUUUUUUUUAAAUCUUCAUGACAACUGUGCUUUCCUAAGCUCACUGGGGCCAUUUUGUUUGGGAAGUCAGACCUGAAGGAGUACUAGACCCAGAGGCGCCACCACACAGUAAGGCCUCAAGGUAAAUUUUACUGCAGCAGGCGCAAAGUUCUCAUUCCACAGAGGCAGGCCCAGGAGCCAUCCUCUCACCCUAGGAACCUGCAAGUUCAAGUUCUCCGCCAGGGAGCUAGGACAGGCAAGAGGUUGGCUGACGAACGCCGAGCUCUCCGCUAAGCUGGAAAGGACUCAGCCCGCUAGCCUUCCCACUAGUCAGGGCCAUUGCUCCCUUCCAACACCCGCGGAAGCCACACCUCCCUCUCCGGCCGUCCCUGCGAGCCAAGUCCGGGUGUGUCCCCCUGGCGCGGCGCCCACCCUCCGAGGGCGCAGACCGAACCGCCCUCACAGGUUAGGGGCGGGGCCUGCCUGGCGUGAUGGCUUCGCCUGCAGCCCCUUCUUGGUGUAACGACCGGAGAGUAGCAGCACAGCAACCCCAGCGCAGAGGCGGGUCCGACCGCGCGAUGACACCAGGCACAGACCAUUCGCCGCCGGGGGAUCUUUCCUGAGGGCGCGGACGAGGGAGCGGGAUCCGGUUGGCGACUGACACGUCGCCCCGCCCUAGAUUCUUUCAGGGUCGGCUGUCUCUGAACAGUGGAUCCCAGUGAGGAAGAGUCGGGCGCAUGCUGAUUGCGUCACCAAACCACGCACUCAGCCCGAGCAAGCCCCUCUCUGGGAGAGGCCUCGGUGGGGGAGGGCCCUGCGCACUGUGAUGACGGCAAGUCCCGCCCGUUUGAGGAGUGGAGCGGUGGAGCCCGCGGUCCCCCUCAGUGGGGCGCUGGCGCGCGGGCUAGAGCGACCUGCGGUCCGUGGGAGAGCCGCGCCCGCCUCGGCAGGGAGGAGUGCUCAGCGCGGCUGGAGAUGAGUAGCGCGGGGGGCGAGGGGCCGGAGGCCGGUCCUGGCCGGGCUGGGGGCCGCUCCGAGCCCGAGGCCCCGGGCAGCGCUCUGAGUGUGGACUUGCCGGGGCUGCUGGGGCAGCUGGCGCGCAGCUUCGCGCUGCUGCUGCCGGUGUACGCCCUGGGCUACCUGGGGCUGAGCUUCAGUUGGGUGCUGCUGGCGCUCGGGCUGCUCGCCUGGUGCCGCCGGAGCCGCGGCCUCAAGGCCAGCCGCCUGUGCCGCGCGCUGGCGCUGUUGGAGGACGAGGAGCAAGCUGUGCGCCUGGGAGUGCGCGCCUGCGACCUGCCCGCCUGGGUUCAUUUUCCAGACACUGAAAGAGCAGAAUGGCUAAAUAAGACUGUAAAGCACAUGUGGCCCUUUAUUUGUCAGUUUAUCGAGAAGCUCUUUCGAGAAACCAUAGAGCCAGCUGUGCGUGGAGCAAAUGCUCACCUCAGCACCUUCAGCUUCACAAAAGUGGAUGUGGGUCAGCAGCCCCUGAGAGUCAAUGGUGUUAAGGUUUAUACUGAAAAUGUAGACAAAAGACAAAUUAUUCUGGACCUUCAGAUUAGUUUUGUAGGAAAUUGUGAGAUUGAUUUGGAGAUCAAAAGAUAUUUUUGUAGAGCUGGUGUGAAAAGUAUUCAGAUCCAUGGGACAAUGCGGGUGAUACUGGAGCCCCUGAUUGGAGACAUGCCUUUAGUUGGAGCUUUGUCCAUCUUCUUCCUUAGGAAACCACUUUUAGAGAUUAACUGGACAGGGCUGACUAACCUUCUGGACAUCCCUGGACUGAAUGGUUUAUCUGAUACUAUCAUUUUGGAUAUAAUAUCAAACUAUCUAGUGCUUCCCAAUCGAAUCACCGUUCCUCUUGUCAGUGAAGUUCAAAUAGCUCAGCUGCGGUUUCCCAUACCAAAGGGUGUCCUAAGGAUUCACUUUAUUGAAGCUCAAGAUCUUCAGGGCAAAGACACCUACCUUAAAGGCCUUGUCAAGGGAAAAUCAGACCCCUAUGGAAUUAUCCGGGUGGGCAACCAAAUCUUCCAGAGCAAAGUCAUCAAAGAGAACCUUAGUCCAAAAUGGAAUGAAGUGUAUGAGGCUUUAGUGUAUGAACACCCUGGACAAGAAUUGGAGAUUGAACUGUUUGAUGAAGAUCCAGACAAGGAUGAUUUCUUAGGAAGUCUUAUGAUUGAUCUUAUUGAAGUUGAGAAGGAGCGCCUUUUAGAUGAAUGGUUCACUCUGGACGAGGUUCCCAAAGGAAAGCUGCAUUUGAAGUUAGAGUGGCUCACACUGAUGCCUGAUGCUGCAAACCUUGACAAGGUGCUGGCAGACAUCAGAGCUGACAAGGACCAAGCCAGUGAUGGCCUUUCAUCUGCACUGCUGAUCUUGUAUUUGGAUUCUGCAAGGAACCUUCCGAGUAUCUACGAGGGAAACUUUGGGUGUGGCUACUUAAAAGAGAGGCGAGCGUCGGGACUAGUGUUUUGUGAGAAUACUACCUCAGUCUAUAGAACACUAUUUUCAGGGAAGAAAAUAAACAGCAACCCAAAUCCUCUUGUCCAGAUGUCAGUCGGUCACAAGGCUCAAGAGAGUAAGAUUCGAUACAAAACUAGUGAGCCUGUAUGGGAGGAAAACUUCACUUUCUUCAUUCAUAACCCCAGGCGCCAGGACCUUGAGGUUGAGGUUAAAGAUGAGCAGCAUCAGUGUUCUCUGGGGAGCCUGAGGAUCCCACUCAGUCAACUGCUUACAAGUGACAACAUGACUAUAAACCAGCGGUUCCAGCUUAGCAACUCGGGUCCAAACAGCACCUUAAAAAUGAAGAUUGCCCUCCGGGUCCUCCAUCUUGAAAAGCAAGAAAGGCCUCCAGACUACCAGCAUUCAGCUCAAGUGAAACGGCCCUCUGUCUCCAAAGAAGGGAGGAAAAUGCCUAUCAAAUCUCAGAUGUCUGCGUCGCCAGGCACCGGUGGUGCCAACACUGCUCCGUCAACACCAGUCAUGGGAGUCGAUGAUAAGCCUGCCAUGGAGGAGAAGCCCCAGCCCCCUGAGGCCAGCCCUCUCGGGCAUCGUGACCUAGGCAGGAGCUCCUCCAGCCUCUUGGCCUCUCCAAGCCACAUCGCAGCCAAGGAACCCACCCCAAGCAUUGCCUCAGACAUAUCACUGCCCAUUGCCACUCAGGAGCUGAGACAAAGGCUACGUCAACUUGAAAAUGGGACAACCCUGGGACAAUCUCCUCUGGGGCAGAUCCAGCUGACUAUCCGGCACAGCUCCCAAAGGAAUAAGCUCAUCGUGGUUGUGCACUCCUGCAGAAACCUCAUUGCCUUCUCGGAAGAUGGCUCUGACCCAUAUGUCCGCAUGUAUUUAUUACCAGACAAGAGACGCUCAGGAAGAAGGAAAACACAUGUAUCAAAGAAGACAUUGAACCCUGUGUUUGAUCAGAGCUUCGACUUCAGUGUUUCGCUGCCUGAGGUGCAAAGGAGAACAUUGGAUGUGGCUGUGAAGAACAGUGGUGGCUUCCUGUCCAAAGAUAAAGGGCUUCUUGGCAAAGUGCUGGUUGUUCUGGCAUCUGAAGAACUCGCCAAGGGCUGGACCCAGUGGUAUGACCUCACAGAAGAUGGGACAAGGCCACAGGUGAUAACGUAGCUACGCUGGACGUAGGUCUAUUUUUCAGUGUAUCACGUGGCACCUCAACAUGGAACACACCUUCUCGCAGAUGUACCAAUGCUAUUUUUAUAAUUUUAAGUAUUGAGUUAUACAUACCUUAAUAAUUUUAUAAAACUUGGCAUUGUAGGAAAAUUUGGCCAAUAUUAUUGUUGAAUCUCCCUGUUGAGCUUCCUCCAGUGCUUCACCAGUGGUGUAGUGAUGUGUUUCCUGUGCUGUGUGGAGCUCUGUCAGCUGCACCUGCUGGAAAGCAGAUACCUGGACUUGUUUCUGCCUUGUCCUGCAUCCUGGAGGUGCACUACACCAUCCAUCCUUGUCUUUGCCCAAUAAGCCCAUGGACAAAGUGGCCUUGGUGACAGAAAUGAGGGAUGUGCCUUGGAUCAACAAUAUGGACUGCCAUUCACCAACUCUGACCUGACUACAGCUGCUAUUGAGUGCCAGAGAUACCAACAACAGAGACCCAACACUGAACCCCAGACAUGGCAUCAAUCCGCAGGGCGCCCAGUCAGCAACCUGGUAGCAGGCUGAAUAUAUUAAACCACUUCCUGCAUAGAAAGAACAAUGCUUUGCUCUUACUGGAGUGGAUACUGUUUCUGGAUAUGAAUUUGCCUUUCCUAUAUAUAAAGUGUCUGCCAAAUCACCAUCCAUGGACAUCACUAUACCUUACCCACCAUCAUGGUAUUGCACACAGAAUUGCUUCUGACCAAGGAACUCACUUCACAGUCAGGGAAGCACAACAGUGAACCCACAGUUCUGGAAUCCAGUUUCCUACCAUCCUGAAGCCUUGAUAGAGAGAUGAAAUGGCCUUUUGAAGACACAGUACAAUGUUGAGUAUGUGGCAGCCGUCUGGAACACUGCUAGGGUUCUCCUGAAGGUCAUAUAAGCUUUGUAUCAAGUGUCCAACAUAUCAUAUGGUUUCUCUCAUAGCCAGGAUUCACAGGUCCAGGAAUCAAGGGGUGAAAAAGGAAAUGGUUUACUCCCUAUCUCUCCUAGUGACUCACUAGGAAAAUUUUUGCUUCCUGUUUCUGGAACCUUAAAUACUGCUGGCCUAGAAGUUUUGUUUCCAGAGGUGGGAGCAUUUCUGCCAGGAUCCAAAACAUGUUCAGUGACCUGGAAGCUCAGACUUCCUUCUGACUAUUUUGGCUUCUGAUGCCCUGAAGCCUGUAAGCUAAGAAACAAAUAACAGUUUUAGGAGGGUUGGUUAUCUCAGAUUAACCAAGAAGUUGGAGAUAAGAAAGAUUAUGUCUGGAAUGCAGGGGAUCCUUUAGGGAGUCUUCUGGUGCUAUCAUGUCCUGGGAUUUCAGCCAAUGGAAGACUACAUCAACCUAAUUCAAGCAGGAUGACAAAGGGCACAGACUCAUCAAGAAUGAUAGUAUGGGUCACUCCUCCAGCAAAAGAGCUAAUAUUUGCUAAGGUGCUUGCAGAGGGUGGAAGAAAUGCAGAAUGGCUAAUAGACUAAGGUAAUUAUAUACACCAGCUAAGGCCACAGGACCAGUUGUAGAUAUGAAGAUUAUAACUGAUAUGAGUGUUUCUGUUGUAUUUUGGUAAGAAUGUGUUUGUACAAAUAUUUGUGAUUUUUCCCCUCAAUUUUUCUUGUCAUAUGAUAUAACAUCAAUUAAGAGAUUAUUAGUGGUUAUAAUAUUUAAGUUUGAGAUACUAAAAAAGAGAUGUCCUUCAAGGGACAUUGUUACCUAUUCUAAAUGUAUAAUGUGUUUGUGGUCAUAUGAGGCAUAGUUAUAUCAUGCUAGACAUAGUUACACCUGGUUAUUGUUUUCAGUUAGAAAUUAAUUACAACAUAAGGAGACAUGA